CCUACGGGGUGCAGCAGUGGGGAAUAUUGCACAAUGGGGGAAACCCUGAUGCAGCGACGCCGCGUGAGUGAAGAAGUAUUUCGGUAUGUAAAGCUCUAUCAGCAGGGAAGAAGAAAGACGGUACCUGACUAAGAAGCCCCGGCUAACUCCGUGCCAGCAGCCGCGGUAAUACGGAGGAUGCGAGCGUUAUCCGGAGUGAUUGGGUUUAAAGGGUGCGCAGGCGGAUUUUUAAGUCUGCGGUCAAAUCGUGGGGCUCAACCCCAUCCAGCCGUUGAAACUGGGGAUCUAGAGUGUGCGAGAGGUAUGCGGAAUGCGUGGUGUAGCGGUGAAAUGCAUAGAUAUCACGCAGAACCCCGAUUGCGAAGGCAGCAUACCGGUGCACAACUGACGCUCAGGCACGAAAGCGUGGGUAUCGAACAGGAUUAGAUACCCCUGUAGUC
rnacentral:rRNA from 1 species